rnacentral:rRNA from 1 species
GGGGAAUAUUGCACAAUGGGCGCAAGCCUGAUGCAGCCAUGCCGCGUGUAUGAAGAAGGCCUUCGGGUUGUAAAGUACUUUCAGCGGGGAGGAAGGUGUUGUGGUUAAUAACCGCAGCAAUUGACGUUACCCGCAGAAGAAGCACCGGCUAACUCCGUGCCAGCAGCCGCGGUAAUACGGAGGGUGCAAGCGUUAAUCGGAAUUACUGGGCGUAAAGCGCACGCAGGCGGUCUGUCAAGUCGGAUGUGAAAUCCCCGGGCUCAACCUGGGAACUGCAUUCGAAACUGGCAGUCUAGAGUCUUGUAGAGGGGGGUAGAAUUCCAGGUGUAGCGGUGAAAUGCGUAGAGAUCUGGAGGAAUACCGGUGGCGAAAGCGGCUCUCUGGUCUGUAACUGACGCUGAGGCUCGAAAGCGUGGGGAGCAAAC